UGCUUUCUGAGUUUUCUCCGAGUUUCCGUCUGCUGGAUCUAAAGCUGGUUGGGUUCAUCUUGCGCCACCUUGGAAGCGUGCCGACGGGGUAGAACGUGGUCGUUGUAUCACUAGGAGUAAUUGCCGGGAAGCCUCGCACGUAGAGGGGCAAUUUUGCUUCUAGGACAGUGCUCUGCACGUCUCUAUCCACAAGCCUUAUUUAAACCUUUUUUUUAUCGUAUUUGUUACUUAAUUUUGUUUCAGGAUUUUUCUAAAUCUGUAAUUGAAUUUUCGAAUUGGUUUUUUAAAGAAUAUUGUAAUAAAAGAUCAGAAAGAUUUUCCAACACGAAAUUAUUCUGUGCAUCGAUUGUAUAAAUACAUCUUAUACACCACAGUUUUGGAACCCUAUAACAAAAUUUAAACUCUAUAAGUUUUUAUAUAUAGACAUUUUAUAUACUAUAGAUUGCAUCUAUCAAUUUAGAUUUUAAUUUUAUAAUAUUAAUCUUUAAAAAAUAAUUUUAGUGCAUGCUAUGCCAAUAUAUCGGGUGCUGGUAAUGAAUUUUUAUAGUUGGAAAGAAAAUGAUAAAUUGGUAGAAGAAAUGUUCCAUGUAUAGAGUAUAAAAUAAAUUUAUACAUUACAUUUUUGAAAUCUUAUUAUAAAAACUUAAAUAUGUAAUUUUUUACAAAUUAGCUGUAGUACACUGAAUUUUGGCAAAUUGCGACGUUCGAGUGUUAGAAUAGUAAUUGGAACUAUCCUACAACUUUGAAGGAUUGUUGAGAGGUUUUUGACAAAUUACUGAAGUA
rnacentral:lncRNA from 1 species